CAAGAAUAGAUAGAUGCAUGCAUUUCUUCUCCCUACAUGAAAACGCAAGUUUGGUAGAGGAAACAUGUUCUCUACUGGACACAUGCUGGCCUAAAAGUAGGUUUGCUCGGAGGAGGAAGUUUGAGUCGCCACCCGUCCUCAGUUACCUGUGUCUGUUGCUAUGGUGAAGGAUGAGAAGGUGAUAGGACACUACAGACUGAGUGAGAGCCUAGAGAACGAGCGGUGGUGUGUUGUGGAGUCUGUUAUUGUGUCCGCUCAACAUCGGGGUUUAGGGUUGGGACUGAAGCUGAUGCAACACUGCCUUGACCUGGCUGAUAGUCUCUCAAUGGACGAGAUAUUCCUCUCUACAAAGGACAAGAUGGGUUUCUACGCUAAACUGGGAUUUGUUGAUGGCUUUCCAGUGUCCAUCUUAUCUAAAGUGAAUGCAAUGUUUAGAGGCAAACACUUUCUGGACAAAUCUGUAACUAAAACUGAUGGUGUUACCUGGAUGAGUUGCAAACUAGUGGACUCCUGACAAAACUUGGUAAUUUAGGUCCUUUCUUAAGUUGUUAUCAUUCUUUUCGGGCAUGUCACUGAUUUUUAUUGAUAAUUUUAAUUUGAAGAUUAGACUAUGCACGAUUUGUGGCUAUUAUUUGUUAUCUAUGAUUGUCAUCUAUUAGAUUAUAAAAAUGUACCAAUGGUUGUGUUAUAUGUCGAGGGUGUGUAAAUAUAUUUUAAAACUAGGGCCAAUUCUGAUUUUAUUGUAUUUUAUUGUUCUUAAUAAUCUGUAUUUUAUACUGUAAAUAUCAAUAAUUAAUAUAUUCCUAUUUUAAAUUAUGACUAUCUGAUUAACUUUUUCUCCCAAAUA